CCUGACCCCAUGCCGAACUCAGAAGUGAAACGUCGUAGCGCCGAUGGUAGUGUGGGGUCUCCCCAUGUGAGAGUAGGGAAUCGCCAGGC
rnacentral:rRNA from 1 species